GACGAACGCUGGCGGCGUGCCUAAUACAUGCAAGUCGAGCGGACGGAUGGGAGCUUGCUCCCAGACCGUCAGCGGCGGACGGGUGAGUAACACGUGGGCAACCUGCCUGUAAGACUGGGAUAACUCCGGGAAACCGGGGCUAAUACCGGAUAACUCUUUCCCUCACAUGAGGGAAAGCUGAAAGAUGGCAUCUCGCUAUCACUUACAGAUGGGCCCGCGGCGCAUUAGCUAGUUGGUGAGGUAACGGCUCACCAAGGCGACGAUGCGUAGCCGACCUGAGAGGGUGAUCGGCCACACUGGGACUGAGACACGGCCCAGACUCCUACGGGAGGCAGCAGUAGGGAAUCUUCCGCAAUGGACGAAAGUCUGACGGAGCAACGCCGCGUGAGUGAUGAAGGUUUUCGGAUCGUAAAACUCUGUUGUCAGGGAAGAACAAGUACCGGAGUAACUGCCGGUACCUUGACGGUACCUGAUCAGAAAGCCACGGCUAACUACGUG
rnacentral:rRNA from 1 species